GAUGAACGCUAGCGGCAGGCUUAAUACAUGCAAGUCGAGGGGCAGCAGGUCUGUAGCAAUACAGAUGCUGGCGACCGGCAAACGGGUGCGGAACACGUACAGAACCUUCCUUCGAGCGGGGAAUAGCCCAGAGAAAUUUGGAUUAAUACCCCAUAGUAUAUUGAAAAGGCAUCUUUUUAAUAUUAAAGAUUUAUCACUUGAAGAUGGCUGUGCGGCUGAUUAGAUAGUUGGCGGGGUAACGGCCCACCAAGUCUGCGAUCAGUAACUGGUGUGAGAGCACGACCAGUCACACGGGCACUGAGACACGGGCCCGACUCCUACGGGAGGCUG
rnacentral:rRNA from 1 species